rnacentral:rRNA from 1 species
UACGUAGGGUCCGAGCGUUGUCCGGAAUUAUUGGGCGUAAAGGGCUCGUAGGCGGUUUGUCGCGUCGGGAGUGAAAACCUACAGCUUAACUGUGGGCGUGCGGUCGAUACGGGCAUCACUGGAGUUCGGCAGGGGAGACUGGAAUUCCUGGUGUAGCGGUGAAAUGCGCAGAUAUCAGGAGGAACACCGGUGGCGAAGGCGGGUCUCUGGGCCGAUACUGACGCUGAGGAGCGAAAGCGUGGGGAGCAAACAGG